ensembl:snRNA LOC120096846 U2 spliceosomal RNA
AUCGCUUCUCGGCCUUUUGGCUAAGAUCAAGUGUAGUAUAAAGUCAAAUAGACUAAGUAUUUGAAAACAGUUCUCAUGUGGCCUCAAACUCUAAACUUACUACACAGCACAGCAUAACCUUGUUCUCAUUUCUCAAGGGCUAGAUGAAUAGUC